rnacentral:lncRNA from 1 species
UGGCCUUUUAUAAACAUGAUCAGUCCAUAUAUAUACAUAUGAAAAGUAAGCUUAAAUUAAAUUAAACGUUGCUUUAAACACGUUACACUAUCUUUUAACGCUGUAAAAUUGCAGGUAACGAGUUAAAGAUUCAUUAACGCGCUUAAGUUGCAUUUAACGCGUUAAUGUUGCAUUUAACGCGUUACAGUUGGAUUUAACGCGUUACAG